GGAAAAUGGCGCCAUUAUGGACCCAAAACUCCACAUAAUCCGCCAAGACACAGACCUCCCCGUACUUCAGGGGGCAAACCGUCGAAUUAAACGGCGUAAUUAUGUCCUCAUGCACGCGCCAAUGACGCCAUGUCCAUUUCAUUCUUUCUCCUUAAAUAUUUAUAUUUCCAUUCCCCAUUUUACGCGCCGCCUUCAAAGUCUCCUGUCAACUUCUUGUUUCCUUCGUGCAAGUAAACCUACGAAUUAACGGAAGUAGCCCCUCUCUCGCCAACGAUAAUGGGGUCGCUCUCUGCCGUCAACGGGCCUCUGCACUAUCCAAUUGCUCGCCGGGACGACUCUGUGAUUGACGAUUACCACGGCGUUAAGGUCGCCGAUCCUUAUCGAUGGCUUGAAGAUCCUGACGCUGAGGAAGUGAAAGAGUUCGUGCAGGAGCAGGUGAAAUUGACGGAAGGUGUGUUGAAGUCAUGCGAUGCAAGAGAAAAGCUUCGCAACAAAAUCACGAAGCUGUUUGAUCACCCGCGAUACGAUGCACCUUUCAAACGAGGGGAUAAGUAUUUCUACUUCCAUAAUACUGGGCUUCAAGCCCAAAACGUUCUCUACGUGCAGGAUAGUUUGGAUGGAAAGCCGGAAGUUUUGCUUGAUCCAAAUGCUCUUAGUGAGGAUGGAACAGUCGCAUUGAACACGGAAACGGUUUCAGUUAGUGAGGAUGCUAAGUACUUGGCUUACGGGGUUAGCUCGAGUGGGAGUGAUUGGGUCACAGUGAAAGUUUUGCAUGUUGCGGAUAAGAGAGUCGAGGCUGACACGUUAACUUGGGUUAAGUUUUCAGGUAUUAGUUGGACCCAUGACAGCAAAGGGUUUUUCUAUAGCCGUUACCCAGCUCCCAAGUAUGUAAUCAUCAUUUCAUUUGCAUCUCCUUUGAGGUGCCAAUUUGAAUUAUAAUGGUUCCCAUCAAUUUGAGCGGAGCUUGGAAAUUUUAGGAAAUUAGUUGUAAUUAACAAUUUCAGAUGGAACUUGAGAGAGCAUAUUUUAUAUAGACAUAAAUUAUCAAACAGAUAGGAAGCCUGUUAAAGGCAAUGGAUUAGACUCAGCUAAGCUAAGAUGUUGAAUGCCAAGCAUGAAUUCAGCUAUGUAGUUAUAGGGUGAGAUAAUGAAGAGUGAGUUGGUUGAAUGAUUGUGAAUUACAAAUUGCACUAGUGUCUGUUGGAUUUUCUGUGCAAGAUUAGGGAGAUGGUGUUUGGUGCAUUGUGAGAUUGAAAAUUUUUUUCUUCCCCUGCAGAGAAGGAGAAAACUUAGAUGCUGGGACAGAGACUAGUUCUAAUCUUUACCAUGAGCUAUACUAUCAUUUUUUGGGCACAGAUCAAUCUGAAGAUAUACUAUGCUGGAGAGAUACCGAAAACCCCAAAUACACGUUCGGAGCUAGUGUAACAGAUGAUGGAAAGUAUCUUCUGCUGUACAUUUCAGAAAGUUGUGAUCCAGUCAACAAAGUAUACUACUGCGAUAUGUCUGCAUUUCCUGAAGGCCUUGAAGGUUUCAGAGGAAAUCACCUGCUUCCAUUCAUCAAGUUUAUUGAUGAUUUUGAUGCUCAGUAUGAAGCCAUAGCAAAUGAUGAAACCCUAUUUACUUUUUUGACUAAUAAAAAUGCUCCUAAAUAUAAAUUAGUCCAGGUAGAUUUAAAGGAGCCAAGUAUUUGGACAGAUGUUGUCCCGGAAGCUGCAAAGGAUGUCCUAGAAUCAGCAUGUGCUGUUAAUGGUGAUCAAAUGAUUUUAAGUUAUUUGAGUGAUGUCAAAUAUGUUUUACAGGUGAGGGAAUUGAAAACAGGAUCCUUGCUGCAUCGGUUACCAAUUGACAUUGGGACAGUCGAUGGGAUAUCUGCAAGACGGAAAGACAGUAAAAUAUUUAUUGGGUUUACUAGUUUUCUUACUCCUGGUAUCAUAUAUGAAUGCAAUUUAGACACUGAAGUUCCAGAUAUGAAGAUAUUUCGGGAAAUUAGUGUGGCAGGAUUUGAUCGCACAGAUUUCCAUGUGGAUCAGGUUUUCUUUCCUAGCAAGGAUAGCACCAAGAUACCAAUGUUUAUUGUGGCCAAGAAGAAUAUAAAAUUGGACGGAUCACAUCCAUGUUUGUUAUAUGGAUAUGGUGGAUUUAACAUUAGUCUGACACCAUCAUUCAGUGUCAGUCGUAUUAUACUCACAAGGCAUUUAGGUGCUGUCUUCUGCAUUGCAAAUAUUCGAGGUGGUGGAGAAUAUGGUGAGGAGUGGCAUAAGGCAGGUUCACUUGCAAAAAAGCAGAAUUGCUUUGAUGACUUCAUUUCUGCUGCUGAAUACCUUGUAUCUACGGGUUAUACCCAACCAAGUAAGUUGUGUAUUGAAGGUGGAAGCAAUGGUGGUCUACUUAUUGGGGCUUCCAUAAAUCAGAGACCAGAUCUUUUUGGUUGUGCUUUGGCUCAUGUUGGUGUGAUGGACAUGCUGCGGUUUCACAAGUUUACUAUAGGUCAUGCGUGGACUUCUGAUUAUGGCUGUUCGGACAAGGAGGAAGAGUUCCAUUGGCUUAUUAAGUGAGAAAAGUGUAUUUUCUUACUGCAUUUCCUUAUUUUCCAUAUUCCAGAUAGUUCAGAAAAAGAGAAAGGUGGGUGGUCCCAGUCAGUCUAGAGACAAUCACAACACGGGAAGAUAUUCUCUUUUAUCAUUCCUGGAGUGAACUAAAUCCAGUUUAUCUUGAUUGCCACUAAGUUUUGAAUUACAUAGCCACUUAAGUUUUAGGAACGAAGGCUAAUAAACCCGAUAUCUACUUUAUUAGAAAGAAAGGGCUCAACUGCAUUUAGAAUGUCAUACUAUAAGCUUUUGAGCUGAUAAACCUACUUGAAAGUUAAAUUGCAACUGCAUUUAGAAUAGAGUCUUGUUGGUUGGCAUAGCAUUUUCAUUUUUCCUCUUGUAUGAGGCAUGAGUAUUUCUUUUCUAGUCCUGCAUUGGCAAUUCUCUUCAAUAUUUGUUUGUUUCAGCUGCUUGUUUUGUUUCUCAGGUACUCACCACUGCACAACGUGCGAAGACCAUGGGAACAACAUCCUGAUCAACCUUGUCAGUACCCAUCCACCAUGCUGCUUACUGCUGAUCAUGAUGAUCGAGUUGUACCAUUACAUUCGCUAAAGUUAUUGGCGGUUGGUACUUAGUUCUCAAUAGUGAAUGUUCUCAAAGUUUUGCUAUCAUGAUAGCUUGAUGGUAUUCUGAAAUCAGCCUGAUUUGAUUCAAAAUUGCAACCAAAUUAGACGAACUUUUUUUUUUCUUCUUAAAAAAAUGUUCAACCAUUGGAUUUGAUCAAAUCAGAACCGAAUUAGAAUUAAACUAAAACCAGAAUCAGAAGCAUAAGAGAGUUGUGCGGUCAGAACCGUUGGUUUUAGGUUAGUUCCGGUCUGGUUCAGCCCAUUGGCCAGGCCUACCCCAUUUCAUGUUUCAAUUCUAUCAUCAAUAGAUAGUUAAUGCUUAAAUGCUAUUGGAAAUUAACCCAUAUACCAUAACUAGUCCAGGAUAUGCACUUCUGCAUCCGCUCACUUUCUCAUACAAAAAGUCACUUGCAGACGAUGCAGUAUGUUUUAUGCUCAAGCUUGGAGAAUAGCCCCCAGACCAACCCUAUAAUAGGUCGCAUCGAGUGUAAGGCUGGACAUGGAGCUGGGCGUCCAACACAAAAAAUGAUUGAUGAAGCGGCUGAUCGGUAUGCCUUCAUGGCAAAGGUGUUGGGUGCAACUUGGAAUGAGUAGCAGUUGACUAUGAAUGUGACCCAAAAAAAAAAGUUAGGAAACGUUUCAGGUUUACCUAUUCAACCCUCUCUUUUUUUUUUCCAACCACCAUUUUAAGAAGUAGAAAUGAUUAGCAUUGGCCAUUAUUUCUUUUCCUGAACGAUGAAAGAGCAAGUUGGGCGAAAUGGUUAUUGACAUAUUUCAAUAUCUGGUUGUCCGAGUUCCGAAAUAGUUACUCCGUUUGCUAUAGUUUUUCUAUGCUAUAUUAUCAAAUUGCAACUGGCAAAGUUACUUUGUAUGGAAUGGAAAAAUUAGUGGACAUGAAUGUCUGAAUGGUUUCUGAAACUAAUGGAAUUAUUUGAUGCACA
rnacentral:misc_RNA from 1 species